GAGCGGGGCAGCGGCCCCGAAAGAGAAACAGUUGCUGCUGAUCAGUUACAGGGGCUUGCCGCCUUGCCUUCCCCCUUAGAAACUGCCGGAAGGCCUCGGACCUUCUCUUCUCUCUUCGGUCUCCUGAGCUCCUUCCCAUGCUGCGCGCCCCCACCUAUUGCCACAAGGCAAUUCUCCCCGCCAUCCCCAGCCCCGCCCCCGGAGCAUCGCCGGAUUUAGGGCUCCGCGCCCCAGCACCAGGGCUGGCUGCGCCGGGGCUCGCUCCUCCAGCCCCGCCGCGGGCUCCGCAUUGCGGCGGUGCGGGCGCCGAACCUCCCAGCGCGCUUUCCCGGCUGCGAUCUGCAGUGCGGUGCCCGCCCCGCCGCCUCCCUGCCCCCGCACGCCCCCUGGAGCCCUGCGCCUAGCUGCUGCCGGCGGGUUGCAUGAGCCCCGCGCGCAGGGGCGCUGAAUUCAGCUUCCCGGGCAUCCAAACUCCUGGCCGGACGGUGAAAGCUGCGAUGCUGCUGGACCGUCCUCCCCUCUGCAGCUGUCAAAGAGCCGCGCCCCGAGACAACAAAUCCAGACGCGGCAAAUACCCUGUGACAGAUGAGAGAAUAUUUGCUCCUUGAGGAGAGGCGAGGAAGAGGGACAUCUCUUCAUGAACAGCCCCAAAACAAGUAAACAUUGUUAUAAUUUCAGAUCUGAAAACAGGAAAGCCCCGGUGCAGGGACUUCACAAAAGGUAAGCUCUGGAGGUGGCAGAAAUUUUGUGAAAUUAUUCUGGGGAAACUGUUUCCCUCUCACUGCAAAGGAGAGGAGAAUCUACCUCUGAGUCAGCGAGGGUUUGAUAUUGAGAAGGGAUUUUAAGGGUCUUCAAGUGUCUUUAUGUUUGGGUUUGCCCUUAAUUCUUUUCCUUCACUUCG